rnacentral:lncRNA from 1 species
GGAAACAGAAAUCAACUCAUUAACACAUAAUAGAAACACCAGAGGCAACUAGAUCUUAAAUCUCAAAGGAAACCUGAUAAUGGAUGCUUCUUCACCCUCCAUUGACUGAUCAAACCCAGUGAUCGGUCAGAAAAUAUUAAUUAGGGUCCACGGGGAGCCUGGUCAAUCUAGAGACCGAGGAAUUGUGCAGAAGACAUAAGCCCAAGAAUGGGCGCUUGAGGACUAAUUAUUAACAGUGAACAGCAGUUAGAUCCACAGCAGCGAAGUGAACACAGCCCAACAAACAGG